rnacentral:sRNA from 1 species
UACCGCCAAACUCUUCGAAACCCGGUC